rnacentral:rRNA from 1 species
GACGAACGCUGGCGGCGUGCCUAAUACAUGCAAGUCGAACGCAGUGGGGACGGGUGAGUAACACGUGGGUAACCUCCCAUCAGAGGGGAUAACACGUGGAAACAGGUGCUAAAACCGAUAUUGAUGGAUGGACCCGCGGUGGAUUAGCUAGUUGGUGGGGUAACGGCUCACCAAGGCCACGAUGCAUAGCCGGCCGGAGAGGGUGAGCGGCCACACUGGGACUGAGACACGGCCCAGACUCCUACGGGAGGCAGCAGUAGGGAAUCUUCGGCAAUGGACGAAAGUCUGACCGAGCAACGCCGCGGGAGUGAAGAAGGCUUUCGGAUCGUAAAACUCUGUUGUUAGGGAAGCGGUACCUAAACAGAAAGCCACGGCUAACUACGUGCCAGCAGCCGCGGUAAUAC